CGAUGGAGGCAAAGACCACCAGGGAGAAUAUCUGUGGACGGGGACAGAAGAGGAAGAGCAGAGGGUGGAGACAAGGGAGAGAGAAAAUGGAAUGAGGGAACAAGACAGGAAGGCAGCUUGAGAUUUCUGCCGUGGUGAAGAAGACCUUCUCUGCGUGUGUGUCACCCAAAGGUGACGCGUUACAUCAAACGCCAGGGCACGAUGCGUCUCCGUGGCCCUGCGUGCGUAAUGAUGCUCACGGACCAAUCACAGGUUCUGGCGAUGCGGGGCCCUGGAUGACAGGUCUCAGCUCAGUCCUCACAUCUCUCAGGAUUCCCGAGACAAUCCUUCAAUCGCAGGAACCAUCUUUCCACCCGUCCCUCCACCUCUCAUCCACACGGGAGCAGUCAAACUCAGGCUUCCCCAACCGGACGUU